GUAACGUAAACUAUUGUUGCAGACUGAGUUGGGAUCUUCAAAAGAAACAUGCUAUGGGAGAAAAAAAGAGUUGUUACAGGGAUGUUACGAAGAGAGAAAAGAUAUUGGAAUUCUACUGCUGCUACAAAAACAGGAUGAUUUGAUUCAUUUCAAAAGAAGAUCUGAAUAAGGAAGGAAACUCAUAUACACUUACAAAAAGAAACAGGGAAGAAAUGAGUGGAUGGAAGAAAAGUAAUGUAUUUGUUAAGAAAGUCUCUGUUUUGGCAAGGAUAAACUUGUGCUGCAAAAAUCAGUCCUGAGCAUGGAUCCUCAAGUGCUGUUGACUGAACUUCACUACUAUAUUGACAGCUUCUGAUUAUUACUACCUGGAACUGCAGUUGAAGGGGUAACCCAGAGAUGAAAGGACUCCUCUGAAAUUCAUUCCUGAAACCCUUUAGUCACUAAGAGAAAAAGAAAGUGGGAGCAAGAAACUGGCUAAGACAAGUCUGAGGAAGAUGAAAUUAUGGCUAAGAAGAAAAAAAGAAGGAGAAUAUUUUCAAGAUGGAAAAGUUAACAGCCUUCACUAAAACCAUUGUGCUGCUUUAUAUUUUCUAAGAUGAAUGGAAGGGAUGGUAGGACUCCAACCCUGCGAGCACCAGUGGGAUGUACCCUGGAGAGGGGCAGUUCACCUUGGAGAGGUGGAAACAGGAACGAGGUGACGGUUUUAACACACUGCCCAAACCCCCUCCCACAGUGCCGUAAGGGCAAGGCUGCGGAGGAGCCACAUUUGAAGCAUCACAGAUCUAAAGUAUAUAUUGGUUAUGAACCUCACCUGCAUUAUACGAUUGUAAAAGAAAGGAGGCAGGAAAAGGAAAUCUGGGGAAUGUAUUGCCUUGCUUUAAUUGCUCUGGUUCCUGAAGAGAAUUAUUGUGGGAGAAGGUGCCCAGCGGCUGAGGCAGUGCAUGCUUGGUCUGUGGCUCAAUGCUGUCCCCUGAUGAGCUUUGAGACAGAUGUCUAUAAUGCUGUUUUUUUGGUUGUGUGAUGUUCACUUGUGAAAUCUCUUCAUCUUUUGUCUUUGCACCCUUUGUAAUGAUCUUUACAAUUCACAAGAAACAAAGAAGUCAUGCUGUUACAUGAUUUUAAAAAAUAUCUCCCUGGGACUGGGAUUAUCAGAACCCACCUGAGCAUAAAAGGAAGGGGAAGCAGCAGUACAAAACUAAGCUCAGCUCCCAACCGCAGAUGGCUAGAAGUCAAUUUUGCUGCUCGAGGUUCAAGGAUGUAGGGGCUGUUUCUCUUGACUCCUUUGGCUCAGCUUUCAUUAAAAAGUCUCCAUUUGAUGUUAUAGGUCUGUGCCCAGUGUCUUUUUUAUGUAAACUGCUUACAUAACCCACAAGCAAAGCUUGUGUAAGACUUUCUUAGGUAAAGCAAGAGUUACUUUAAAUGGCACUUAAACCCACCUGCUUCACUGGAAGGGUCUUUCUCAUAGAG
rnacentral:lncRNA from 1 species